UUAAGCGACUAAGCGUACACGGUGGAUGCCCUGGCAGUCAGAGGCGAUGAAGGGCGUGCUAAUCUGCGAUAAGCGCCGGUAAGGUGAUAUGAACCGUUAUAACCGGCGAUACCCGAAUGGGGAAACCCAGUGUGAUUCGUCACACUAUCAUUAACUGAAUCCAUAGGUUAAUGAGGCGAACCGGGGGAACUGAAACAUCUAAGUACCCCGAGGAAAAGAAAUCAACCGAGAUUCCCCCAGUAGCGGCGAGCGAACGGGGAGGAGCCCAGAGCCUGAAUCAGCAUAUGUGUUAGUGGAAGCGUCUGGAAAGGCGCGCGAUACAGGGUGACAGCCCCGUACACAAAAGCGCAUGUGCUGUGAGCUCGAUGAGUAGGGCGGGACACGUGGUAUCCUGUCUGAAUAUGGGGGGACCAUCCUCCAAGGCUAAAUACUCCUGACUGACCGAUAGUGAACCAGUACCGUGAGGGAAAGGCGAAAAGAACCCCGGCGAGGGGAGUGAAAAAGAACCUGAAACCGUGUACGUACAAGCAGUGGGAGCCCCACCACUAAGCCAGUGGUGAACUCCACAUACGCAUCCUUUGCUGAGGAUACGGUUAACGGAGCGCAAGCGACGUUCAACCUCAAAAGAAGCAGAGGGGGCUUAGUGGUGGGGUGACUGCGUACCUUUUGUAUAAUGGGUCAGCGACUUAUAUUCUGUAGCAAGGUUAACCGUAUAGGGGAGCCGGAGGGAAACCGAGUCUUAAUUGGGCGUUAAGUUGCAGGGUAUAGACCCGAAACCCGGUGAUCUAGCCAUGGGCAGGUUGAAGGUUGGGUAACACUAACUGGAGGACCGAACCGACUAAUGUUGAAAAAUUAGCGGAUGACCUGUGGCUGGGGGUGAAAGGCCAAUCAAACCGGGAGAUAGCUGGUUCUCCCCGAAAGCUAUUUAGGUAGCGCCUCGUGAAUUCAUCUCCGGGGGUAGAGCACUGUUUCGGCUAGGGGGCCAUCCCGGCUUACCAACCCGAUGCAAACUGCGAAUACCGGAGAAUGUUAUCACGGGAGACACACGGCGGGUGCUAACGUCCGUCGUGAAGAGGGAAACAACCCAGACCGCCAGCUAAGGUCCCAAAGUCAUGGUUAAGUGGGAAACGAUGUGGGAAGGCCCAGACAGCCAGGAUGUUGGCUUAGAAGCAGCCAUCAUUUAAAGAAAGCGUAAUAGCUCACUGGUCGAGUCGGCCUGCGCGGAAGAUGUAACGGGGCUAAACCAUGCACCGAAGCUGCGGCAGCGACACUCAGGUGUUGUUGGGUAGGGGAGCGUUCUGUAAGCCUGCGAAGGUGGCCUGUGAGGGUUGCUGGAGGUAUCAGAAGUGCGAAUGCUGACAUAAGUAACGAUAAAGCGGGUGAAAAGCCCGCUCGCCGGAAGACCAAGGGUUCCUGUCCAACGUUAAUCGGGGCAGGGUGAGUCGACCCCUAAGGCGAGGCCGAAAGGCGUAGUCGAUGGGAAACGGGUUAAUAUUCCCGUACUUGGUGUUACUGCGAAGGGGGGACGGAGAAGGCUAUGUUGGCCGGGCGACGGUUGUCCCGGUUUAAGCGUGUAGGUGUGUGUUCCAGGUAAAUCCGGUUCACUUUAACACUGAGGCGUGAUGACGAGGCACUACGGUGCUGAAGCAACAAAUGCCCUGCUUCCAGGAAAAGCCUCUAAGCAUCAGGUAACAUCAAAUCGUACCCCAAACCGACACAGGUGGUCAGGUAGAGAAUACCAAGGCGCUUGAGAGAACUCGGGUGAAGGAACUAGGCAAAAUGGUGCCGUAACUUCGGGAGAAGGCACGCUGACACGUAGGUGAAGUGAUUUACUCAUGGAGCUGAAGUCAGUCGAAGAUACCAGCUGGCUGCAACUGUUUAUUAAAAACACAGCACUGUGCAAACACGAAAGUGGACGUAUACGGUGUGACGCCUGCCCGGUGCCGGAAGGUUAAUUGAUGGGGUCAGCGCAAGCGAAGCUCCUGAUCGAAGCCCCGGUAAACGGCGGCCGUAACUAUAACGGUCCUAAGGUAGCGAAAUUCCUUGUCGGGUAAGUUCCGACCUGCACGAAUGGCGUAAUGAUGGCCAGGCUGUCUCCACCCGAGACUCAGUGAAAUUGAACUCGCUGUGAAGAUGCAGUGUACCCGCGGCAAGACGGAAAGACCCCGUGAACCUUUACUAUAGCUUGACACUGAACAUUGAGCCUUGAUGUGUAGGAUAGGUGGGAGGCUUUGAAGUGUGGACGCCAGUCUGCAUGGAGCCGGCCUUGAAAUACCACCCUUUAAUGUUUGAUGUUCUAACGUGGACCCGUGAUCCGGGUUGCGGACAGUGUCUGGUGGGUAGUUUGACUGGGGCGGUCUCCUCCUAAAGAGUAACGGAGGAGCACGAAGGUUGGCUAAUCCUGGUCGGACAUCAGGAGGUUAGUGCAAUGGCAUAAGCCAGCUUGACUGCGAGCGUGACGGCGCGAGCAGGUGCGAAAGCAGGUCAUAGUGAUCCGGUGGUUCUGAAUGGAAGGGCCAUCGCUCAACGGAUAAAAGGUACUCCGGGGAUAACAGGCUGAUACCGCCCAAGAGUUCAUAUCGACGGCGGUGUUUGGCACCUCGAUGUCGGCUCAUCACAUCCUGGGGCUGAAGUAGGUCCCAAGGGUAUGGCUGUUCGCCAUUUAAAGUGGUACGCGAGCUGGGUUUAGAACGUCGUGAGACAGUUCGGUCCCUAUCUGCCGUGGGCGCUGGAGAACUGAGGGGGGCUGCUCCUAGUACGAGAGGACCGGAGUGGACGCAUCACUGGUGUUCGGGUUGUCAUGCCAAUGGCACUGCCCGGUAGCUAAAUGCGGAAGAGAUAAGUGCUGAAAGCAUCUAAGCACGAAACUUGCCCCGAGAUGAGUUCUCCCUGAGACUUUAGGUCUCCUGAAGGAACGUUGAAGACGACGACGUUGAUAGGCCGGGUGUGUAAGCGCAGCGAUGCGUUGAGCUAACCGGUACUAAUGAACCGUGAGGCUUAACCUU
rnacentral:rRNA from 1 species